GAAGUACAGAAUCGUUUCUUGUGGCAUUAAUGGAAUGUGUAUUCAAAUGUUGCCUGUGCACAGUACAAAAUCAAGUAAAACUGUAUAUGAUUUGUUUUAUAUACCCCUUAUUUAUCAGAUGCCUGUCCUAAAAUUCCAGCCUUUCCCACCCCACCAAUGAAAAUAUCAAAGAAUGGUUCGCCCAGGUCUGUUGGCCGUGACAGGUCAACUAGUGGUACAUGUAGGUCUAUGGGCCAUGACAGGCCAUCUAGUCGUACAUCUAGGUCUGUGGGCCGUGACAGGUCAACUAGUCGUGAGUAUCUUUCAUAGCAAAAUAUUGCAGCCAGGUCACUAGGAGUAUUGUUCAUGACUGACUGAUGUUUCUGAAUCUGCGUCGCUUAGGUACAUCUAGGUCUGUGGGCCGUGACAGGUCAACUAGUCGUGAGUAUCUUUCAUAGCAAAAUAUUGCAGCCAGGUCACUAGGAGUAUUGUUCAUGACUGACUGAUGUUUCUGAAUCUGCGUCGCUUAGGUACAUCUAGGUCUGUGGGCCGUGACAGGUCAACUAGUCGUGAGUAUCUUUCAUAGCAAAAUAUUGCAGCCCAGGGCCCCAGGCAGGUCAGUAUUGUUCAUGACUGACUGAUGUUUCUAAAUCUGCGUCGCUUAGGUACAUCUAGGUCUGUGGGCCGUGACAAGUCAACUUGUGGUGAGUUUAACUUUUCAA